rnacentral:ncRNA from 18 species
UUUAAUUGAAUAUGAUGAGGUUCCUGUGUUUUUUCUCCACAGGCUAAGAGGAAAGAGGGGUUUCAUUCCCCCGCGGUCACGCCGCUGUAAAGGACGAGUCUGUUUCAUUCAUGUCACUGGGAAACUGGGAAGGCGAAACAGUAUGAAGACUCCCGAGCCAGAAGACCUGCCCGUCAUAGGAAAUUUACA